rnacentral:rRNA from 1 species
AGAGUUUGAUCCUGGCUCAGAUUGAACGCUGGCGGCAGGCCUAACACAUGCAAGUCGAGCGGUAGCACAGAGAGCUUGCUCUCGGGUGACGAGCGGCGGACGGGUGAGUAAUGUCUGGGAAACUGCCUGAUGGAGGGGGAUAACUACUGGAAACGGUAGCUAAUACCGCAUAACGUCGCAAGACCAAAGAGGGGGACCUUCGGGCCUCUUGCCAUCAGAUGUGCCCAGAUGGGAUUAGCUAGUAGGUGGGGUAACGGCUCACCUAGGCGACGAUCCCUAGCUGGUCUGAGAGGAUGACCAGCCACACUGGAACUGAGACACGGUCCAGACUCCUACGGGAGGCAGCAGUGGGGAAUAUUGCACAAUGGGCGCAAGCCUGAUGCAGCCAUGCCGCGUGUAUGAAGAAGGCCUUCGGGUUGUAAAGUACUUUCAGCGGGGAGGAAGGUGUUGUGGUUAAUAACCACAGCAAUUGACGUUACCCGCAGAAGAAGCACCGGCUAACUCCGUGCCAGCAGCCGCGGUAAUACGGAGGGUGCAAGCGUUAAUCGGAAUUACUGGGCGUAAAGCGCACGCAGGCGGUCUGUCAAGUCGGAUGUGAAAUCCCCGGGCUCAACCUGGGAACUGCAUUCGAAACUGGCAGGCUAGAGUCUUGUAGAGGGGGGUAGAAUUCCAGGUGUAGCGGUGAAAUGCGUAGAGAUCUGGAGGAAUACCGGUGGCGAAGGCGGCCCCCGGACAAAGAC